rnacentral:rRNA from 1 species
UACGAAGGGGGCUAGCGUUGCUCGGAAUGACUGGGCGUAAAGGGCGCGUAGGCGGUUUGUACAGUCAGAUGUGAAAUUCCUGGGCUCAACCUGGGGGCUGCAUUUGAUACUGGAGACCUUGAGUCCGGGAGAGGUGAGUGGAAUUGCGAGUGUAGAGGUGAAAUUCGUAGAUAUUCGCAAGAACACCAGUGGCGAAGGCGGCUCACUGGCCCGGAACUGACGCUGAGACGCGAAAGCGUGGGGAGCAAACAGG